GACGAACGCUGGCGGCGUGCUUAACACAUGCAAGUCGAGCGGUAAGGCCCUUUUGGGGUACACGAGCGGCGAACGGGUGAGUAACACGUGGGUGACCUGCCCUCAGCUCUGGGAUAAGCCUGGGAAACUGGGUCUAAUACUGGAUAUGACCUUUCCUCGCAUGGGGUUGGGUGGAAAGUUUUCGGCUGGGGAUGGGCCCGCGGCCUAUCAGCUUGUUGGUGGGGUGAUGGCCUACCAAGGCGACGACGGGUAGCCGGCCUGAGAGGGCGACCGGCCACACUGGGACUGAGACACGGCCCAGACUCCUACGGGAGGCAGCAGUGGGGAAUAUUGCGCAAUGGGCGGAAGCCU
rnacentral:rRNA from 1 species